rnacentral:snRNA from 1 species
GUGUUUGCUUUGGCAGCACAUAUACUGAAAUUGGAACAAUACAGGGAAUAUUAGCUUGUCCCCUGCACAAGGAUGACAGGCAAAUUUGUGAAGCAUUACAUAUAUUC